rnacentral:tRNA from 1 species
GCCGGUUUCCCGGAUAUCGGGAUCGGCCCGCUUAUUGUUAAUAAACGGGUCAAAACCCUGAUCGCCUCGCAUAUCGGUUCCAAUCCUGUAGCCGGAA